AAAAAGGGCUGUCGUGAGUGACACAUGUAGGGCAACUCAAUUGUUCUUUGCGUGGAAUCAACAUCAAGAGAUUCUGGAAGCAUAAUUUUUUGAUAGUUGGGCAGCUAGUGACCAUAAAAUAAAAUCAAAUCACGAUUUAAUCAAGCAGUUGCCAUCGUUCAU